rnacentral:rRNA from 1 species
UGGGUAAUCUUUGAACGUGAAUCGUGCUGGGGAUAGAUGAUUGCAAUUAUUCAUCUUCAACGAGGAAUUCCUAGUAAACGCAAGUCAUCAGCUUGCAUUGAUUACGUCCCUGCCCUUUGUACACACCGCCCGUCGCACCUACCGAUUGAAUGGUCCGGUGAAAUCUUCGGAUCUGAGAGAUGCUGGAUUCAUUUUUGGCGUCUUUUAGAGAAGUUGCUUAAACCUUAUCAUUUAGAGGAAGGUGAAGUCGUAACAAGGUUUCCGUAGGUGAACCUGCGGAAGGAUCAUUA